rnacentral:rRNA from 1 species
AUUGAACGCUGGCGGUAUGCUUAACACAUGCAAGUCGAACGGUAGCAGGCCUUCGGGCGCUGACGAGUGGCGGACGGGUGAGUAACGCGUAGGAAUCUGCCUCAUAGUGGGGGACAACGUGGGGAAACUCACGCUAAUACCGCAUACGCCCUACGGGGAAAGCGGGGGAUCUUCGGACCUCGCGCUAUGAGAUGAGCCUGCGUUAGAUUAGCUAGUUGGUAGGGUAAAGGCCUACCAAGGCGACGAUCUAUAGCUGGUCUGAGAGGACGAUCAGCCACACUGGGACUGAGACACGGCCCAGACUCCUACGGGAGGCAGCAGUGGGGAAUAUUGGACCAAUGGGCGCAAGCCUGAUCCAGCAAUACCGCGUGUGUGAAGAAGGCCUUAGGGUUGUAAAGCACUUUCAAUUGGGAGGAAAACCUGUCGGUCAAUACCCGGCAGCUUGACAUUAUCUUUAGAAGAAGCACCGGCUAACUCCGUGCCAGCAGCCG